rnacentral:lncRNA from 10 species
GCUGGGCGUGGUGGUGCAUGCCUGUAAUCCCAGCUACUUGGGAGGCUGAGGCAGGAGAAUCGCUAGAACCCAGGAGAUGGAGAUUGCAGUGAGCUAAGAUCACACCACUGCACUCCAGCCUAGGUGUCAGAGCGAGACUCUGUCUCAAAAAAAAAAAAACAAACUUGGAGACCAGGUCUCACUCAGUUGCCCAGGCUGGAGUGCAGUGACACGAUCUCCAUUCACUGUAGCCUUGACCUCCUGGGCUCAAGCAAUCCUCCUACC